AGAGUUUGAUCCUGGCUCAGAGCGAACGUUUGCGGCGGGCCUAACACAUGCAAGUCGAACGCACUAGCAAUAGUGAGUGGCGCACGGGUGCGUAACACGUGGUAAUCAACCUUCAGCUUGGGAUAACGACUUGAAAGGGUCGCUAAUACCGGAUACGGCGCGGGAGGCUUCGGCUUCUCACGAGAAAGCCUCGCAAGGGGCACUGAAGGACGAGCCUGCGGCCCAUCAGCUAGUUGGUGAGGUAAGAGCUCACCAAGGCGAAGACGGGUAGCUGGUCUGAGAGGAUGAUCAGCCACACUGGAACUGAGACACGGUCCAGACUCCUACGGGAGGCAGCAGUGGGGAAUUUUGGACAAUGGGCGCAAGCCUGAUCCAGCCAUUCCGCGUGCAGGAUGAAGGCCUUCGGGUUGUAAACUGCUUUUGUACGGAACGAAAAGGUCCUGGUUAAUACCUGGGGCUCAUGACGGUACCGUAAGAAUAGGCACCGGCUAACUACGUG
rnacentral:rRNA from 1 species